rnacentral:rRNA from 1 species
UACAGAGGGUGCAAGCGUUGUUCGGAAUUAUUGGGCGUAAAGCGCGUGUAGGCGGCAUGGCAAGUCGGGUGUGAAAGCCCUGGGCUCAACCCAGGAAGUGCACUCGAUACUGCCUAGCUAGAGUCCCGGAGAGGUUGGUGGAACUCUCGGUGUAGAGGUGAAAUUCGUAGAUAUCGAGAAGAACACCGGUGGCGAAGGCGGCCAACUGGACGGUGACUGACACUGAGACGCGAAAGCGUGGGGAGCGAACAGG